AUUGAACGCUGGCGGCAGGCUUAACACAUGCAAGUCGAACGAGUGGCGGACGGGUGAGUAAUGUCUGGGAAACUGCCUGAUGGAGGGGGCUAACUACUGGAAACGGUAGCUAAUACCGCAUACCAUCAGAUGUGCCCAGAUGGGAUUAGGUGGUUGGUGGGGUAACGGCUCACCAAGCCGACGCUCCCUAGCUGGUCUGAGAGGAUUACCAGACAAACUGGGAAUGAGACACGGUCCAGAAUCCUACGGGAGGCAGCAGUGGGGAAUAUUGCGCAAUGGGCGCAAGCCUGAUGCAGCCAUGCCGCGUGUAUGAAGAAGGCCUUCGGGUUGUAAAGUACGUUCGGGAGGGAGGCGUUACCUGCAGAAGAAGCACCGGCUAACUCCGUGCCAGCAGCCGCGGUAAUUC
rnacentral:rRNA from 1 species